rnacentral:rRNA from 1 species
CUCAGUUCAGAUUGCAGGCUGCAACUCGCCUGCAUGAAGUUGGAAUUGCUAGUAAUCGCGAAUCAGAAUGUCGCGGUGAAUACGUUCCCGGGCUUUGUACACACCGCCCGUCACACCAUGAGAGUCGAUAACACCCGAAGCCUGUGAGCUAACCGUAAGGAGGCAGCAGUCGAAGGUGGGGUUGAUGAUUGGGGUGAAGUCGUAACAAGGUAUC